GGAAUUUAUUGUUUAAUAUUUGAAUGCCCACAUGUGACACUUGGAUUAAUCGACUUGAUUUGGUAUAAGUCUUUUGUGAGUUAUACCUCAAGUUGAGUUUGAAACACAGUUUCUGAUUACUGGUGCUGCCAUCUUGGACAUCAAUCCUAGAGGUAACAGAUUUGAACAAUAUUUUCAGCACAAUCCCCAUUUAAGACCUGUAGUAGCUUCCACUUUCCUGUUUUGUCUGCCUUAACCUCCUUAUUCUAACAUCAGGACCUAGAUGAAAGUUUUCCUCACCACUUUUCUGACCUCAUCUCUCUUUAGUCUCUGGCCAAUGCCCUCAAUAGAAGCGUUACCGCUCCAUUCCUACCUCCUGGAGGGAGAUUUGCAAAUGCUUUUGAUGUCCCUUCUCAGCUUCUGUGUCUGCUUCUCAGAAAUGCUGUUGGAAGAAAAAGGCUGGAGUGUUGACAGUGGCCUGACUGGAGAGGCGGUGUGCUCCUCGGGUGGCGUUUGGAACUGCUGGACUGCUUUACUGAACAUCAGCCAGAGUCUCCAGUCCCUGCUCUGGUUUUUCACACAUCUACCACCAACAUCAGUGAAUUUCCUUGUCAAAUGCCUCUUUAAAAGACAGGUGAAGAUAAUUGCUAGUCAGCUGGAAGUGCUGCCAAGAUAUGACCUCUGGGAAGGCCUGGAAGACAAGUGGUAUUGUGCAGCACUGCUAACACGCAGCGGCUGAUGCAAAGUAAAGAAUCAAUUUGAAAUUAAGAUGAGUAACAGCGUCAAGCACUUAUAGUCAUAGUGAAGAGCUUUGUCACCAGGCCCUGGGAGAGAUGAGGACACCGCUCUUCCCUUCUCAGCCUCCCCUUGUCCUGUCAGACUCCAGCUGGUUGGACUCUCAAAUGCUCAGCCAUCUAGAAGCAUUUCCUAAUAAAGCACAGCACCUCUGCCA
rnacentral:lncRNA from 1 species